UAUAUAUAUAUAUAUAUAUAUAUGCACCCAUUUAUGAAAGAUAGGAGGUGAAUUAAAGGUGCAAGGGCUCAAAUUGACUUGAUCUAAAUGUUUUCUAAUUCAGUGGAUGAUUCACAGUGACAGAACCAUUACAUUGACUUAAUUAAUCAAAGCAAAAGAUCACCAUUCUAUUAGUGCAAAGUCAGAGACCGUAGUUUAACAUUGGCAGUUUGAUUUAGCAGCCUCCCACUGAAUUAUACUUUAUACACUUUUUUUUUUUUUUUUACAUUGACAAACCUAUUAUUCUAUUUUAGUAUUUUUCUCCUGUCCUUAAGUCAUGCGUAAGAGCAGUCCUUAGGGAAAUCAGUGAUUUUUUUUUUAUAUAUAUAUGAGGACAUCUUUGAAAAAAAACAAAACAUUUGAACCUUGUUGCCUACAAGUGACCAAAGAGGGACACAAUGGACUGAAUCCAAAUCUUUUUAUUGUAUCCAUAAAUGUCAGCAUUUCAUCUCAUUGGAAUUAAAGAACCAAUGUUUUGUUGCCAUUCCUGCCAAAGUUAUAACCAGGGUUUUGAAGAACAGUGUUUUUGAUAAGUUGUUUUUUUUCCCUCCCUGUGGUACAUUAAGUAAUUAAUUGAUUUCCACAAGUAAUUUCUUUUUUCUACUUAUUCUCUCAUCGAUACAUCAGACUGUAAUAUUACACUUUAUAAAUAUAUAUAUGUAAUGUGUGUGUGUGUGUACAGUGUUAGUGACUGACUUCCUCCAUCUUUGUCUGCAUUGAAGGUCUACUAAAGCAUGAAUGCAGUUAAAAUACAUAUCACAUGCAAUACACUAAUUUAGUACCAAUACUGUAUAUUGUCCCAUGAAACUUUUUUUUCAUUCUCUUCAUUGAAGUUUUAUUGUAUGUCAUCAGACUCAGAACGAGAUACUCAGCAGCUUUUGGUUCAUCCUUUGUUGCAAACACUUUAUCUAGUUUCACACUGGAAUAAGCUGCAUAUGGUCUCAGACUGGUUUGAAACUGGUUUAUUGUCAAUGAUGAACCAAGCAAGAGACAAUAGUUUUUAUUAAUGUAUAUGCAAUCACCUUAUAAGAAGACUUUCUAUUUUUCAGGUACACUUUUCAAGUAUGUUUUCUUCAACACUAAAAUGAAUGCAUGUGUUUGAAAUUGUAUUAAUUAUUGAUUAAUAUUAGUCCUGUUUUAAUCCAUCUCAAUUGGAUUAAGACCGUGUCAAAGAGAUUUUUCUUUGUUAACAAUCCUGUGAUUUUGAUUUUACCGAUUUUAUAUAAUCAACUUUGUGCAGUUGGAGUUUUCAUUCCAAAAUAAAAUAUUUCCAUACAUAUAGACUAAAUCCCCACUAAUGCAUUUUCUUCUUUCAACACAUUUUAAAAUGAUUUUCAUCAGCACUAGCAUUUUGGCUAAGUUUCUUCAGUAAUUCAAACGUAUAUCCCAUGACAAAGGAAGCUGAUAAUGUGCUGUUGCUGUGAAUGUAGUCAGAUUGUGAUAACAAAAGGAAUAUACUUGAACAAACGCUGCAGAGACAAGAACAAAAUCACCUGUAAUUCUGUGCCCAUGUUGAAUUAACAGCUGGUGGUGUCUGGUUUUCUUGGAUACGGAGUUACUGUCAGGACCAAUCAGGCAGAGAAUGUACCCAUCCCACUUCUAAACUCACUACACUGAAAAACACUACAAUGCAUCAUCACAGUUUACAAACUAAACCAGGGUCAGCUGUGUGUGUGUAAAACUCCACAUUGAAGGGGUUAAAACAUUGGUGUCAUGUAGACACUGGGUGUGAACGCAUUAUAAAGGAACAUGUUUUAAACAUGUACUUACAUAAAAAGUAUUACUGUGAGUAACUUCAGAAAACAUAGAUUUGCUUUAACAUAAUUUCUGCUGAAAAAGUUGUAAUGCAAUAGAAAACCUGGACUAUGACUGAAUGUCAACAGUUGGAACUAAUUCUCCUUUCAAAUACUAUUUUGGAAUGAAACCUUUCAAUACACUACAUCACUGUGGUACAUUUAGUAAAUGUAAUAUGACAAAUCCGUGUUUUCCAGAAACUGUACUUGGGACCUACCAGCAGAACAGUUUUUCAUUUGUCUGUUUCUUGGAUUAAAAAUAGAUUACAAAU